rnacentral:rRNA from 1 species
GAUGAACGCUGGCGGCGUGCCUAAUACAUGCAAGUCGAGCGAAUGGAUUAAGAGCUUGCUCUUAUGAAGUUAGCGGCGGACGGGUGAGUAACACGUGGGUAACCUGCCCAUAAGACUGGGAUAACUCCGGGAAACCGGGGCUAAUACCGGAUAACAUUUUGAACCGCAUGGUUCGAAAUUGAAAGGCGGCUUCGGCUGUCACUUAUGGAUGGACCCGCGUCGCAUUAGCUAGUUGGUGAGGUAACGGCUCACCAAGGCAACGAUGCGUAGCCGACCUGAGAGGGCGGUCGGCCACACUGGGACUGAGACACGGCCCAGACUCCUACGGGAGGCAGCAGUAGGGAAUCUUCCGCGAUGGACGAAAGUCUGACGGAGCAACGCCGCGUGAGUGAUGAAGGCUUUCGGGUCGUAAAACUCUGUUGUUAGGGAAGAACAAGUGCUAGUUGAAUAAGCUGGCACCUUGACGGUACCUAACCAGAAAGCCACGGCUAACUACGUGCCAGCCGCCGCGGUAA